rnacentral:rRNA from 1 species
UCCUCAUACCAGUGAGAAUGCCCUUAACAUCUAAACAGAUAAAGAGGAGCAGGUAUUAAGCACACUAAAAGUAGCUCAUGAUGCCUUGCUCAACCACGCCCCCAAGGGAUACAGCAGUGAUAAAAAUUUAGCAAUGAACGAAAGUUCGACUAAGUUAUGUUAUUAUGAGGGUUGGUAAAUUUCGUGCCAGCCACCGCGGUCAUACGAUUAACCCAAGUUAAUAAAUUUCGGCGUAAAGCGUGUUUUAAAAUCAAAUAUUGACCAAACUGUAAAAAGUACUAGUCAUAAACAAAACCAGCAACGAAAGCGAUUUUAGAAUCUUUGAGCACACGAUAGCUAAGACCCAAACUGGGAUUAGAUACCCCACUAUGCUUAGCCUUAAACCUUAAUAAAUUCAUAACAAAAUUAUUCGCCAGAGAACUACAAGCCAGAGCUUAAAACUCAAAGGACUUGGCGGUGCUUUAUACCCACCUAGAGGAGCCUGUUCUAUAAUCGAUAAACCCCGCUGAACCUUACCACUCUUUGCCAACUCAGCUUAUAUACCGCCAUCUUCAGCAAACCCUAAAAAGGAAUAAAAGUAAGCAUAAUUACCAUCAUAAAAACGUUAGGUCAAGGUGUAGCCUAUAGAGUGGAAAGCAAUGGGCUACAUUUUCUAAAAUAGAAUAUACGGAGGUCCCUAUGAAAUCCGAGGCUAAAGGAGGAUUU